UCGAACGAUGAUCCGGUGCUUGCACCGGGGAUUAGUGGCGAACGGGUGAGUAACACGUGAGUAACCUGCCCUUAACUCUGGGAUAAGCCUGGGAAACUGGGUCUAAUACCGGAUAUGACUGAUCAUCGCAUGGUGGUUGGUGGAAAGCUUUUUGUGGUUUUGGAUGGACUCGCGGCCUAUCAGCUUGUUGGUGAGGUAAUGGCUUACCAAGGCGACGACGGGUAGCCGGCCUGAGAGGGUGACCGGCCACACUGGGACUGAGACACGGCCCAGACUCCUACGGGAGGCAGCAGUGGGGAAUAUUGCACAAUGGGCGCAAGCCUGAUGCAGCGACGCCGCGUGAGGGAUGACGGCCUUCGGGUUGUAAACCUCUUUCAGUAGGGAAGAAGCGAAAGUGACGGUACCUGCAGAAGAAGCGCCGGCUAACUACGUGCCAGCAGCCGCGGUAAUACGUAGGGCGCAAGCGUUAUCCGGAAUUAUUGGGCGUAAAGAGCUCGUAGGCGGUUUGUCGCGUCUGCCGUGAAAGUCCGGGGCUCAACUCCGGAUCUGCGGUGGGUACGGGCAGACUAGAGUGAUGUAGGGGAGACUGGAAUUCCUGGUGUAGCGGUGAAAUGCGCAGAUUUCAGGAGGAACACCGAUGGCGAAAGCAGGUCUCUGGGCAUUAACUGACGCUAAGGACGAAAGCAUGGGGAGCGAACAG
rnacentral:rRNA from 1 species